rnacentral:tRNA from 1 species
GGGGGCGUGGUGCAGCGGCCAAGCAUACCUCCCUGUCAAGGAGGAGACCGCGGGUUCGAAUCCCGUCGCUCCCG